rnacentral:snRNA from 1 species
GGAUGUGAGGGCGAUCUGGCUGCGACAUCUGUCACCCCAUUGAUCGCCAGGGUUGAUUCGGCUGAUCUGGCUGGCUAGGCGGGUGUCCCCUUCCUCUCUCACCGCUCCAUGUGCAUCCCUCCCGAAGCUGCGUGCUCGGUCGAAGAGGACGACCAUCCCCGAUAGAGGAGGACCGUUCUUCGGUCAAGGGUAUACGAGUAGCUGCGCUCCCCUGCUAGAACCUCCAAACAAGCUCUCAAAGUUGGGCUUAGGGCUCACACUGAUGUCCUGGCAAUGUGUCUUGAACAGUAAUAUGUGGCUGUAU